rnacentral:rRNA from 1 species
AUAUCAGUCAUGCAUAGCAUAUCAAUAAGCGGAGGAAAAGAAACUAACAAGGAUUCCCUUAGUAACGGCGAGUGAAGCGGGAAGAGCUCAAAUUUGAAAUCUUCAGGGUUUUACCUUGACGAAUUGUAGUUUAAAGAAGUGUUUUCUGUUGAAGUUUUGGUAAAAGUUCUUUGGAAUAGGACAUCAUAGAGGGUGAGAAUCCCGUAUUUGACCAUUACUUUCAGCUUUGUGAUACACUUUCAAAGAGUCGGAUUGUUUGGGAAUGCAGUCCAAAAUGGGUGGUAAAUUUCAUCUAAAGCUAAAUAUUGGCGAGAGACCGAUAGCGAACAAGUACCGUGAGGGAAAGAUGAAAAGAACUUUGAAAAGAGAGUUAAACAGUACGUGAAAUUGUCAAAAGGGAAGCGUUUGACACCAGUGUUGUUUUCUCGAAAAUCAAUUAAAAAGAGUUGGAUUUUGUGUUGUAUUGACUUUAUCAGGCUUUCUUCACUCUUUUCCAGCUUUUUUUAAUGCACUUUUCGUUUAACAAGUCAACAUCAGUUUCUUUUGUUGUAAAAAAGGUCAUUGGAAGGUGGCUUUCUCUUCGGAGAAAGUGUUUAUAGCCUUUGACUCAUGCAAUCGGAGAGACUGAGGUCUGCAACGUAGAUCCUUCGGGGUUAGAUACAUUUGUGCUAAGUUAUAGCUUUUCAUAGACAACUUGUUGACUAUGUUUAGUCUUGUAGCUUACUCGCUUAUGCUAUUUUACCUACGCUUAGGAUGUUGAACUCUAUCACACACA